UGCUACCUGACCUAGCGGCGGACGGGUGAGUAAUGCUUAGGAAUCUGCCUAUUAGUGGGGGACAACAUUCCGAAAGGAAUGCUAAUACCGCAUACGCCCUACGGGGGAAAGCAGAGGAUCUUCGGACCUUGCGCUAAUAGAUGAGCCUAAGUCAGAUUAGCUAGUUGGUGGGGUAAAGGCCUACCAAGGCGACGAUCUGUAGCGGGUCUGAGAGGAUGAUCCGCCACACUGGGACUGAGACACGGCCCAGACUCCUACGGGAGGCAGCAGUGGGGAAUAUUGGACAAUGGGCGAAAGCCUGAUCCAGCCAUGCCGCGUGUGUGAAGAAGGCCUUUUGGUUGUAAAGCACUUUAAGCGAGGAGGAGGCUACUUGGAUUAAUACUCUAGGAUAGUGGACGUUACUCGCAGAAUAAGCACCGGCUAACUCUGUGCCAGCAGCCGCGGUAAUACAGAGGGUGCGAGCGUUAAUCGGAUUUACUGGGCGUAAAGCGUGCGUAGGCGGCUUCUUAAGUCGGAUGUGAAAUCCCUGAGCUUAACUUAGGAAUUGCAUUCGAUACUGGGAAGCUAGAGUAUGGGAGAGGAUGGUAGAAUUCCAGGUGUAGCGGUGAAAUGCGUAGAGAUCUGGAGGAAUACCGAUGGCGAAGGCAGCCAUCUGGCCUAAUACUGACGCUGAGGUACGAAAGCAUGGGGAGCAAACAGGAUUAGAUACCCUGGUAGUCCAUGCCGUAAACGAUGUCUACUAGCCGUUGGGGCCUUUGAGGCUUUAGUGGCGCAGCUAACGCGAUAAGUAGACCGCCUGGGGAGUACGGUCGCAAGACUAAAACUCAAAUGAAUUGACGGGGGCCCGCACAAGCGGUGGAGCAUGUGGUUUAAUUCGAUGCAACGCGAAGAACCUUACCUGGUCUUGACAUAGUAAGAACUUUCCAGAGAUGGAUUGGUGCCUUCGGGAACUUACAUACAGGUGCUGCAUGGCUGUCGUCAGCUCGUGUCGUGAGAUGUUGGGUUAAGUCCCGCAACGAGCGCAACCCUUUUCCUUAUUUGCCAGCGAGUAAUGUCGGGAACUUUAAGGAUACUGCCAGUGACAAACUGGAGGAAGGCGGGGACGACGUCAAGUCAUCAUGGCCCUUACGACCAGGGCUACACACGUGCUACAAUGGUCGGUACAAAGGGUUGCUACCUAGCGAUAGGAUGCUAAUCUCAAAAAGCCGAUCGUAGUCCGGAUUGGAGUCUGCAACUC
rnacentral:rRNA from 1 species